CACAGCCAACGAUGUGUCCAGGACACAGAUGAAGAGGAUGUUAGUAUGCGUUGUCGAGAGGAACUGCCCUACAGUGACUGGCCAUAGUGCAUAGUGGAACUCCACAGGUGUGAGUCUGAUGUAUGCAAGAGAAAGUAUGUUCUAGGCAGUCCUGAGUGAACUGGCUUGUUA